CUCUUACUUUUCUGCCAAUUUGAGUUUCAGCUGAAACUCAAAUUGUUGAAGCUUCAACAAUUUGAGUUUCAGCUGAAACUCAAAUUGGCAAAAAAAA
rnacentral:pre_miRNA from 1 species